AAUGCAGUCGUACGCUUCUUUUUCCACCGGAGCUUGCUCCACCGGAAAAAGAAGAGUGGCGAACGGGUGAGUAACACGUGGGUAACCUGCCCAUCAGAAGGGGAUAACACUUGGAAACAGGUGCUAAUACCGUAUAACAAUCGAAACCGCAUGGUUUUGAUUUGAAAGGCGCUUUCGGGUGUCGCUGAUGGAUGGACCCGCGGUGCAUUAGCUAGUUGGUGAGGUAACGGCUCACCAAGGCCACGAUGCAUAGCCGACCUGAGAGGGUGAUCGGCCACAUUGGGACUGAGACACGGCCCAAACUCCUACGGGAGGCAGCAGUAGGGAAUCUUCGGCAAUGGACGAAAGUCUGACCGAGCAACGCCGCGUGAGUGAAGAAGGUUUUCGGAUCGUAAAACUCUGUUGUUAGAGAAGAACAAGGAUGAGAGUAACUGUUCAUCCCUUGACGGUAUCUAACCAGAAAGCCACGGCUAACUACGUGCCAGCAGCCGCGGUAAUACGUAGGUGGCAAGCGUUGUCCGGAUUUAUUGGGCGUAAAGCGAGCGCAGGCGGUUUCUUAAGUCUGAUGUGAAAGCCCCCGGCUCAACCGGGGAGGGUCAUUGGAAACUGGGAGACUUGAGUGCAGAAGAGGAGAGUGGAAUUCCAUGUGUAGCGGUGAAAUGCGUAGAUAUAUGGAGGAACACCAGUGGCGAAGGCGGCUCUCUGGUCUGUAACUGACGCUGAGGCUCGAAAGCGUGGGGGAGCAAACAGGAUUAGAUACCCUGGUAGUCCACGCCGUAAACGAUGAGUGCUAAGUGUUGGAGGGUUUCCGCCCUUCAGUGCUGCAGCUAACGCAUUAAGCACUCCGCCUGGGGAGUACGACCGCAAGGUUGAAACUCAAAGGAAUUGACGGGGGCCCGCACAAGCGGUG
rnacentral:rRNA from 1 species